rnacentral:rRNA from 1 species
UACGUAGGGUGCAAGCGUUGUCCGGAAUUAUUGGGCGUAAAGAGCUCGUAGGCGGUCUGUCGCGUCUGCUGUGAAAACUCAGGGCUUAACCCUGAGCUUGCAGUGGGUACGGGCAGACUAGAGUGCGGUAGGGGAGACUGGAAUUCCUGGUGUAGCGGUGAAAUGCGCAGAGUAUCAGGAGGAACACCGGUGGCGAAGGCGGGUCUCUGGGCCGAUACUGACGUGGAGGAGCGAAAGCGUGGGGAGCGAACAGG